AGGGCUUCAGCCGGGUCCGCCCCCCUCGAGGGCAGAAAGGCCGAGGCUGCUGAUUGGCUCUGGGGUCCGGCGGCGUACUCCCUGCGGUCCACCGAUGCUGUCCCUCCAGCCCCGAUAUCCCCCGGCCUGCUGGGGCCCCCGCGCCCUGCCUUUGUGGAGGGCGUCCUUUCGGGUCCGGAGCAGCCUUCCCGCGGCUCCCCCCGCCCCCCCACGCCAUAGCGCCCCGGCCCGUACCUGUCCCCCGGUGAGGCGGCGGGGGAGGCCAGCCGGGGCCAAGCCCCAGCUCAGGGCCACCCCCUACUACCCCCGUGCAGCCCCCCCGAGGGCCGGGCUGCAGCCUUAGCUGCAGCUGUUGCCCAGAUCUCUCCCGCCGCAGGGGCCGCCGCCAUCUUUGUUGGUCCCGCCCGGCCACCGGCCACCGGCUUCACCGCCUCUCACAGCGCCUGCGCACCCACACUCGGCAGCCACCCACCUCCUUCCUCGGCGCUUGCGUGAACCCGCCCCCUUGGCUCCGCCGCCGCCACCAUGGAAACGCAGCCAACUUAAGGACCGUCAGUUCCCAGAUGUGCUUUGAAAGGUUUUUAAACCCUCUCUCCAAAGCAAGCCCCUGAAGCAUAGGGUCCUGGGACCCACAGGGAUGAAGAUCUGACAGUCGUAGCAUGGCCCCCCAGGCUUGCAGCACGGAUCCUUGCCAAGGAGCAGGGGUGCCAGUGUGGGAAGCUGCAAUGCUUGGGUCCAGCCCGCAGACCAGCGGAGAAGCAUCCAGCACUCCACACAGGGAUGGGAAGAUCCCCGGAGGGCAGGGAAUGCUGGUCCUGCAAAACCGUUCCUCAAGCAUCUUGCAGACCAAAGCACCACCAAUGAGAACCAGCGGCCAUCAGAGGCAGCAGCUUUUAUUGAUGAGUUAUCUCCAGAAACCAAGAACACCGCGCACCCACUUUCCAGCCUGCCUCCCAUCCUUCCUGGAUGUCACAUUGCCCCACUGGGGAAAGGGGAUAUAAAUUGCCUUGGUUUUCCAAAGUCCCAGUCUUUCCCUUUCCUGUGUAGCCUUAGAAAUUCAGCGGCUAUACUGUUGUUUUUUCAGCAAUGCCUGAUGUGGCUACUUAGUAACAAUUAUGGGUGGAGGGAUAUGGGGGAAAGCAGUUGGAUGAGUAGGAGUGCUGCACAGGAAACAGGCACAGAACAGAACAGAACGUAGCCUGUCAAAGGUCCCUCCGUCCUGCCUCGGUGGCUUGAUCCUUCAUUGGUUGCAUUUCUCUUUAUGCUGAAUCACGCCCUUCUGAAUGAGAUCGGGGAUUUCCACUGCCAGCCAUGGACCCAGCUGCAAUACAAGCGAGACCGUGUUGGGAUUACUGCCACCCAGUCCAUGCCCCUUGGCCCAUCGGAAGCUCCUUCCUGGAGAGACUUGAUGAACAUGCCCAAGGAAAACACUGUUA